UGGGUUUGAGUUUCCUCUGACUCGUCGGCCUUUAUUGUCUUCCUCCUCUCCUCCUCUGCUGUUGUGGAACGCGCCUUGGUGUAGCUGCAGACUCCCGGUUCGCUCUGAAUUGCUGCUGUUUUGUCCCCCCCUCGAUACGUGCUUCGGACUGACGCGUCGCAGUGUCCGGUCAUCCGAGGGCUAUCACUCCGAAAGCAUUCAGCAGCCCAGCAUAAGUUAACUUGCGCAGGUGGCGCAUGUGGCCGAGUUCAGUGUGUGCGUGAAUGUAGUCUGUGUGCAGGUAAUCCCAGAGGGAGGUCCUCUUCCCCCCUGGUGGUGGGUCCGGUCACGUGGUGUGCAGUGAAUUGCAGUGCAGUGCAGUGUUACCUGUGUGUGAGUGCAAUAAUUCACCUUCACUUAGUGUGUGCAUGGGCACG